rnacentral:rRNA from 1 species
CGGCAACAGCUCAAAUUUGAAAUCUGGCCUCUCGGGGUCCGAGUUGUAAUUUGUAGAGGAUGUUUUGGGUACCGCCCCGGUCUAAAUUUCUUGGAACAGAAUGUCAAAGAGGGUGAGAGCCCCGUACGGUUGGAUGCCUAGCCUCUGUGAAACUCCUUCGAC